rnacentral:rRNA from 1 species
UACGGAGGCAGCAGUGGGAAUAUUGCACAAUGGGCGCAAGCCUGAUGCAGCAACGCCGCGUGAGGGACGACGGCCUUCGGGUUGUAAACCUCUUUUAGCAGGAAGAAGCGAAAGUGACGGUACCUGCAGAAAAAGCGCCGGCUAACUACGUGCCAGCAGCCGCGGUAAUACGUAGGGCGCAAGCGUUAUCCGGAAUUAUUGGGCGUAAAGAGCUCGUAGGCGGUUUGUCGCGUCUGCUGUGAAAUCCGGAGGCUCAACCUCCGGCCUGCAGUGGGUACGGGCAGACUAGAGUGCGGUAGGGGAGAUUGGAAUUCCUGGUGUAGCGGUGGAAUGCGCAGAUAUCAGGAGGAACACCGAUGGCGAAGGCAGAUCUCUGGGCCGUAACUGACGCUGAGGAGCGAAAGGGUGGGGAGCAAACAGGCUUAGAUACCCUGGUAGUCCACCCCGUAAACGUUGGGAACUAGUUGUGGGGUCCAUUCCACGGAUUCCGUGACGCAGCUAACGCAUUAAGUUCCCCGCCUGGGGAGUACGGCCGCAAGGCUAAAACUCAAAGGAAUUGACGGGGACCCGCACAAGCGGCGGAGCAUGCGGAUUAAUUCGAUGCAACGCGAAGAACCUUACCAAGGCUUGACAUAUACGAGAACGGGCCAGAAAUGGUCAACUCUUUGGACACUCGUAAACAGGUGGUGCAUGGUUGUCGUCAGCUCGUGUCGUGAGAUGUUGGGUUAAGUCCCGCAACGAGCGCAACCCUCGUUCUAUGUUGCCAGCACGUAAUGGUGGGAACUCAUGGGAUACUGCCGGGGUCAACUCGGAGGAAGGUGGGGAUGACGUCAAAUCAUCAUGCCCCUUAUGUCUUGGGCUUCACGCAUGCUACAAUGGCCGGUACAAAGGGCUGCAAUACCGCGAGGUGGAGCGAAUCCCAAAAAGCCGGUCCCAGUUCGGAUUGAGGUCUGCAACUCGACCUCAUGAAGUCGGAGUCGCUAGUAAUCGCAGAUCAGCAACGCUGCGGUGAAUACGUUCCCGGGUCUUGUACACACCGCCCGUCAAGUCAUGAAAGUCGGUAACACCUGAAGCCGGUGGCCUAACCCUUGUGGAGGGAGCC